rnacentral:rRNA from 1 species
GACGGAGGAUGCAAGCGUUGUCCGGAAUUAUUGGGCGUAAAGAGCGUGUAGGCGGCCAGAUAAGUCCGCUGUGAAAUCUCGAGGCUCAACUUCGAGCUGUCGGUGGAAACUAUCUGGCUAGAGUCCGGAAGAGGAGAAUGGAAUUCCUGGUGUAGCGGUGAAAUGCGCAGAUAUCAGGAAGAACACCCGUGGCGAAGGCGGUUCUCUGGGACGGUACUGACGCUGAGACGCGAAAGCGUGGGGAGCGAACAGG